UGCCGCUUUCCGGCCACUACAACCCCAGGGACUUCGUCCUGUCUAUCGCCAGGCCCCGGUCCGUCGUCAUCCUCGUCAAGGCUGGCGCGGCCGUCGACCACACCAUCGCCGCCCUCUGCGAGCACCUCCAGCCCGGGGACGCCAUCAUCGACGGCGGCAACGAGUGGUACCAGAACACCGAGCGCCGCCAGCGGGAGGCAGAGGCGAAGGGGCUGCUGUACCUCGGGAUGGGCGUCUCCGGCGGCGAGGAGGGCGCCCGGCGAGGGCCGUCGCUCAUGCCGGGGGGCUCGCACGAGGCCUACCUCAACGUCGAGGACCUCCUCUCGAAGGUCGCCGCGCAGGUGGACGACGGGCCCUGCGUCACCUUCGUCGGCCCCGGCGGCGCCGGCAACUUCGUGAAGAUGGUGCACAACGGAAUCGAGUACGGGGACAUGCAGCUCAUCUCUGAGGCC
rnacentral:lncRNA from 1 species